AUCAAAAUUUGAGAACUAAUAAGGUCUUAGUCAAUGAACAGUAAGAACUAGGGACUGGAUACUAAUUUUUCCUUUUGUUUUUAUCUCACUAUUUUUUUAGAUCUCAGAUUCACACUUACAAUUUUUUUUCUUUUUGUUAACAACUAAAAUUCUUCUUCACACGAGAUAAUAAAACAACGUUAAAAAAACAAUUAGUCAUCAAGGUGGGUGGAACUAUGAAUCCACCAGUAAGACUGUGAGAGAACUUUUUGUUUUUGUUUUUGAACUGUUAUUAUUAUUAUUAUUAUUAUUCAGUCAAAAAAUAUAGCUGUUUAUUUUUUCAGUCUUGUCGUCCAUGUCUUAUGUUGGAUAAAUACUUUAUGAAAAUUAUCGUUUACACUUCAAAAUUAUGUACAUUUAUGAAAAAUGUACAAUUAGAUUUUUAGAAUGUCAUAAUACUUCUCAUAUUUAUAUGGCUCUAAUACACUACUUGACACACCCCGUCCCGAAGGAGAGCAUGCUGGCCGUCACGUGAGAGUGACGUAACCAUUUACACAGUUCGGAAGCUUUAAAAAAAAUACAAUUACUAAGAUGAAACACCCGAGGGUGAGUCCUACUUUUGUGAAUUCUGUCAGAACACCGUUGGAUUCCUCGUGGCCACCAAAGCUCUGCUAUCUAGAACCUGGAGGGGCGCAAAACAAAGUUGAGUGGGUCAGUAAAACAAAGUUUUUCGAAAACAUUUCAAUUAACACAUUUCUAACCCCUCGCUGUAAAACCUGUAUACUUUCCCAGAAAUUAACAUAUAUAUACCAUAUAUAAUCUCAAACUCAAAUCUCAAGUCUUUAACACUUUUCAAGAAAAUAUGCCAUGCUAUGCAUCAAAACAUAAUAAAGAUGCAUCAAUAUAACAGGUGAAAUAAGGAAUCAACCGGAGACCCUGCAGUUGGUCCUGUACGGUUAAUUCUAUAGCUCAAUAUCUAAUCCAGCCGGAGUCACCACGGUGACCUGUACGGCACUGCUGGAGUCACCAACUGUAACCUGUACGGCACUACACUGCACAUAAGUCGGAACUACCUGAAGUAGUCUGUACGACAAGAAUGGUGAAAUAAUACGCUCUAGUGCUUCUCUCAUCAAUCAUCUGCGCGCAUAAUCUAAGGUCACCUACUAGUCGGAACCACCUCUAGUGAUCUGUACGACUAGCAUGUUGGAACCCUCUCAUGGUCUGUACGACAUGCACCUACUUGGAUCCAAGGUGAGCGUGUGGUGCGGUGAAUACUAUAAGCACUAACACCAGGGGUGCAGGUUAUGAGCUCUCAACACAAAUCACAUCAUCAUUAAUUCAUAUAAACCAUAUAAACUCACCUGUGCGUCCACAACACCAAUUCACACAUAUAUAUACAUCAAUUAUCAAUUCAUAUAUUUCAUAAUGUGCAUGCAUGGCAUUUUAAAUCAUACUUUCAUUUAAAUUCAAUUUCUAGGAAAAAUCAAUAGUAUAUAGGUAAAUACAAAAAAUACUGCCCACUCACUUGGAGUUCGCCCUACAACUCCCUAGCACAAUACAUCAAGGCGUCAUCACGAUCGGCGCCUAGAACAAUAAUCAAAUCCAACCUCAGAAAUCAUAUCGAUAGAAUAUAUAACUUAUAUAAAACACGUCACUACGCAGUUCGAUCCGGAAGAUCUGCAACUCAGAUUUCCAAUCCAUAACUUCCAGAGGUCCACAAUAUACCUCUAGGACAACAUCCUAAAAUUUCAUUACCAUCCAACGGUCUGAUCUCCGUCAAUUUCCAAAACCAAGUGACGGUUAACAUUCUAUUUUAUGAACUUACAACUCAAAUUCCA
rnacentral:lncRNA from 1 species